rnacentral:rRNA from 1 species
UACGUAGGGGGCUAGCGUUGUCCGGAAUCAUUGGGCGUAAAGCGCGCGUAGGCGGACCUGCAAGUCGGGGGUGAAAGCCCGAGGCUCAACCUCGGAACUGCCUUCGAUACUGCGGGUCUCGAGUCCGGGAGAGGUGAGUGGAAUUCCUAGUGUAGAGGUGAAAUUCGUAGAUAUUAGGAAGAACACCAGUGGCGAAGGCGGCUCGCUGGCCCGGUACUGACGCUGAGGCGCGAAAGCGUGGGGAGCAAACAGG